UACGUAGGGGGCUAGCGUUAUCCGGAAUUACUGGGCGUAAAGGGUGCGUAGGUGGUUUCUUAAGUCAGAGGUGAAAGGCUACGGCUCAACCGUAGUAAGCCUUUGAAACUGGGAAACUUGAGUGCAGGAGAGGAGAGUGGAAUUCCUAGUGUAGCGGUGAAAUGCGCAGAUAUCAGGAAGAACACCCGUGGCGAAAGCGGCUCUCUGGAACGGUACUGACGCUGAGACGCGAAAGCGUGGGGAGCGAACAGG
rnacentral:rRNA from 1 species